GAACAGUGACAAUUGAUAUUAAAUAUACCAUAAAAAGCUUAUUUGCCAACCAUUCUGUUAUAUCACCACUCAUAUUCCGGGAUA
rfam:Eutrema salsugineum unplaced genomic scaffold scaffold_16, whole genome shotgun sequence.